GUGCGACCCCAGGAUGGUCGGGGUGACCCGCUGAGUUUAAGCAUAUCAAUAAGCGGAGGAGAGGAAACUUACGAGGAUUCCCCUA
rnacentral:rRNA from 1 species